rnacentral:rRNA from 1 species
GAUGAACGCUGGCGGCGUGCCUAAUACAUGCAAGUCGAGCGAACGGACGAGAAGCUUGCUUCUCUGAUGUUAGCGGCGGACGGGUGAGUAGCACGUGGAUAACCUACCUAUAAGACUGGGAUAACUUCGGGAAACCGGAGCUAAUACCGGAUAAUAUUUUGAACCGCAUGGUUCAAAAGUGAAAGACGGUCUUGCUGUCACUUAUAGAUGGAUCCGCGCUGCAUUAGCUAGUUGGUAAGGUAACGGCUUACCAAGGCAACGAUGCAUAGCCGACCUGAGAGGGUGAUCGGCCACACUGGAACUGAGACACGGUCCAGACUCCUACGGGAGGCAGCAGUAGGGAAUCUUCCGCAAUAGGCGGAAGCCUGACGGAGCAACGCCGCGUGAGUGAUGAAGGUCUUCGGAUCGUAAAACUCUGUUAUUAGGGAAGAACAUAUGUGUAAGUAACUGUGCACAUCUUGACGGUACCUAAUCAGAAAGCCACGGCUAACUACGUG